rnacentral:rRNA from 1 species
CCUACGGGGGGCGGCAGUGAGGAAUAUUGGACAAUGGAUGGAAAUCUGAUCCAGCCAUGCCGCGUGCAGGAAGACGGCCCUAUGGGUUGUAAACUGCUUUUAUACGGGAGCAAUAAGGUCUACGUGUAGACUGAUGAGAGUACCGUAUGAAUAAGCAUCGGCUAACUCCGUGCCAGCAGCCCCGGUCA